AGUGCACUCUCAUCUCUCUCUCCCCAUCCAGGGGAAUGGAUCAGGACGGUCACCUUCUAUGCUGCACAAGAGCCCUCAGACAUACUGUGAUUGCCAAGUGCCAGUUUUGGCAGGGUCUCAUCUCCUCAAGUUCCCAGAGAGCGCACAGGGAAACUAGUUGUGUGCCAAGGGAGUUUGGAGAAGUAUGGCAGUAAAAGUGGGAUCUGUCUGCAUGAGCAAGCACAGGCUGGACAUAGAUCCCCUUUCACCCCUACGUAUGUAGCAGAUGUGCAACUUGGCCUUGUUGCAAGUCCUCCAAUAACUGGAUCUGGGGCUGUUCCUGACUCUAUUGCCUCAACGGGGGAGGGAAUGCCUAGGCUGGCAGUGACUUGAUGU
rnacentral:lncRNA from 1 species